CCUUUAACAAGGAGCGGAGAUGAGGCCUUCGUGAUCCCCGCCAGGCGAGGCCAGUGCGCUGCGAGUCCAGGCCCUUCACUGCACAUAGAGCAGCAGAGAGCAGAGGGUCUCGGCCUGCUGGGCAGCGGGGGCGUCUCCACCUUGCUCAGGGCCUUCUCUGUGCCAUUUCCAUCAGUGAGCGCGCGCGCACACGCACACACACACACACACACACUCAGUCACUGUCCCACUGGCCUGGGAGCACGCACACACACACACACAUGCACACACACUCAGUCACUGUCCCACUGGCCUGGGAGCGCACACACAAACGCACGCACACACACUCAGUCACUGUCCCACUGGGCUGGGAGCUUCCAGAGGCAUGAACUGUAUCCUACACGCCUUUGGAAAUCUACACGUGACCUGCCAUUGACAAACAUUCCUGAAAGAGCACGUAGAUGGCUCUCGGAAAACUGCCCACACCCCUAAAGGAAUCUCAGCUGGGGGAGCCCUGGACCCAAACCCCAGGACAAAGGACCAAGAGACACUGGGGGCUUCUCCAGAGCCCCUAAAACUGUGGCCGUCCAGUUCCAGACUCGCUUGUUCCCCAAGGAAGGGGUCCCAGGGUACAUUCAUCAAAGAGGAAUUUGUCCCCCAAGGCCAAGUCCUCUCCAGUAGAAAGGAGGGAGGGAAGCAGGGAAGGAUGCGCAGAGCUCGCCGUGUGGAUGGGAGCGAUGCCCAGCCCCGCGCGCGAUGUCUAUUGUGGAGAGCCCCAAGGCAGAGCUGGACUUCUAUCUGGGGGCACGUCCCCAGGGAGGGGACAAGACGAGGGG
ensembl:lncRNA